rnacentral:misc_RNA from 1 species
GAUGAAGAACUUAGCGAAAUGCGAUAAGUAAUGUGAAUUGCAGAAUUCAGUGAAUCAUCGAAUCUUUGAACGCAUCUUGCGCUCCUUGGUAUUCCUUGGAGCAUGCCUGUUUGAGUAUCAUGAGCAAAUCUCAAAGUCAAUUCCUUUUGUUGAUUCAAUUGGUUUUGCUUUGGACUUGGAGGCCUUGCAGAUUUCACAGUCUGCUCCUCUUAAAUGCAUUAGCUGGAUCUCAGUAAUUAUGCUUGGUUCCACUCGGCGUGAUAAGUAUCACUCGCUGAGGACACUGUUAAAAAGGUGGCCAGGAAAAUACUGAUUGAACCGCUUCUAACGGUCUAUUAAGUUAGACAAUUACCCGUAAGUUUGAUCUCAAAUCAGGUAGGACUACCCGCUGAACUUAAGCAUAUCAAUAAGCGGAGGA